rnacentral:rRNA from 1 species
GCAAGUCGAGCGGUAAGNCCCUUCGGGUACACGAGCGGCGAACGGGUGAGUAACACGUGGGUGAUCUGCCUCGCACUCUGGGAUAAGCCUGGGAAACUGGGUCUAAUACCGGAUAUGACCACGGAUCGCAUGGUUUGUGGUGGAAAGAUUUAUCGGUGCGAGAUGNGCCCGCGGCCUAUCAGCUUGUUGGUGGGGUAAUGGCCUACCAAGGCGACGACGGGUAGCCGACCUGAGAGGGUGACCGGCCACACUGGGACUGAGACACGGCCCAGACUCCUACGGGAGGCAGCAGUGGGGAAUAUUGCACAAUGGGCGAAAGCCUGAUGCAGCGACGCCGCGUGAGGGAUGACGGCCUUCGGGUUGUAAACCUCUUUCGACAGGGACGAAGCGCAAGUGACGGUACCUGUAGAAGAAGCACCGGCCAACUACGUGCCAGCAGCCGCGGUAAUACGUAGGGUGCGAGCGUUGUCCGGAAUUACUGGGCGUAAAGAGCUUGUAGGCGGUUCGUCGCGUCGAUUGUGAAAACUUGCAGCUCAACUGCAAGCUUGCAGUCGAUACGGGCGGACUAGAGUACUUCAGGGGAGACUGGAAUUCCUGGUGUAGCGGUGAAAUGCGCAGAUAUCAGGAGGAACACCGGUGGCGAAGGCGGGUCUCUGGGAAGUAACUGACGCUGAGAAGCGAAAGCGUGGGUAGCGAACAGGAUUAGAUACCCUGGUAGUCCACGNCGUAAACGGUGGGUACUAGGUGUGGGUUUCCUUCCACGGGAUCCGUGCCGUAGCUAACGCAUUAAGUANCCCGCCUGGGGAGUACGGCCGCAAGGCUAAAACUCAAAGGAAUUGACGGGGGCCNGCACAAGCGGCGGAGCAUGUGGAUUAAUUCGAUGCAACGCGAAGAACCUUACCUGGGUUUGACAUACACCAGAAAGCCGUAGAGAUACGGCCCCCCUUGUGGUUGGUGUACAGGUGGUGCAUGGCUGUCGUCAGCUCGUGUCGUGAGAUGUUGGGUUAAGUCCCGCAACGAGCGCAACCCUUAUCUUAUGUUGCCAGCGCGUAAUGGCGGGGACUCGUGAGAGACUGCCGGGGUCAACUCGGAGGAAGGUGGGGACGACGUCAAGUCAUCAUGCCCCUUAUGUCCAGGGCUUCACACAUGCUACAAUGGCCGGUACAGAGGGCUGCGAUACCGUGAGGUGGAGCGAAUCCCUUAAAGCCGGUCUCAGUUCGGAUCGGGGUCUGCAACUCGACCCCGUGAAGUUGGAGUCGCUAGUAAUCGCAGAUCAGCAACGCUGCGGUGAAUACGUUCCCGGGCCUUGUACACACCGCCCGUCACGUCAUGAAAGUCGGUAACACCCGAAGCCGGUGGCCUAACCC